CUCGGCGGGCGUCCGCGGACUCUGCCCGCGCGGCGUCAGGGUCGAACUGCUGCUACCUACGACUUCAAGCCACAAGAGCCUGUGUAUAUUAUGGGAAGCAGCGAGCAGGAACCUGGACCCGCCUCCCGUAUUCCAGGCACAGGGAUGCAGCAGAAAUAAUACAGACAAAAGUUCCUGCCUUCACGAAGCCCAACUUAUCCUGGAGGGAAAUAGACUAUUAACAGAUUAAUACAGAGAACACCUUCAUGUCUGAAGGGUGACUCCUUCCCCAGGAAGCCCUCCCACAUCCCAGCCCCGACUACUCUGGGUUGUCACUCUGGGGAUGGAGCUGUCUCCUCAACUGGACUGUGAGCCCUGGGAAGUCAGGUCAGUGGCUGUCGUGGUCACGUCUGGGCCCAGCACAGAGCUCCAUACAGACCAGAAUCCCCACAGAUAGGGCUGAGCUCCUGGGGCUCUGAUUCUACAAAACAUCCCUGCCUCCACUCCAGCCACCAUGGUGGGACCAAGGUUGACACCUGACCCAC